rnacentral:rRNA from 1 species
GAUGAACGCUGGCGGCGUGCCUAAUACAUGCAAGUCGAGCGAACGGACGAGAAGCUUGCUCCUCUGAGGUUAGCGGCGGACGGGUGAGUAACACGUGGAUAACCUACCUAUAAGACUGGGAUAACUUCGGGAAACCGUAGCUAAUACCGGAUAAUAUUUUGAACCGCAUGGUUCAAAAGUGAAAGACGGUUUUGCUGUCACUUAUAGAUGGAUCCGCGCGGCAUUAGCUAGUUGGUAAGGUAACGGCUUACCAAGGCAACGAUGCAUAGCCGACCUGAGAGGGUGAUCGGCCACACUGGAACUGAGACACGGUCCAGACUCCUACGGGAGGCAGCAGUAGGGAAUCUUCCGCAAUGGGCGAAAGCCUGACGGAGCAACGCCGCGUGAGUGAUGAAGGUCUUCGGAUCGUAAAACUCUGUUAUUAGGGAAGAACAUAUGUGUAAGUAACUAUGCACGUCUUGACGGUACCUAAUCAGAAAGCCACGGCUAACUACGUG